AGAUGCAGGAACUUGUUCAAUGUGGAAGCCAAUAACUAUGCAAGAAAUGAUGCAAGUGCUUCAAGGCCAAUCUCAAAUGCACUGUGCUGUACUACUAAUCAGCAAGAUAGGACAGCAACUUGCUUGUAGACUUAUCUGUUAUGUGGCUCCAAACAUCUGAUGGCAAUACUGCUAACUGAAGAUAACUAGCUGUCAAUUCUCAGAACUGUAACAAGAAAGAUGAUGUCUGUAUGUUUUUAUUUCUACAAGGCACAAAAAAGCUACACAUGGACUGCACUGCAGUGAGCUGAAUAAUUUCAAGCAACUAACUUUUACCACCUGACACCAAAUUCAGAAAACUGAUUUUAAAUCAAUUGAAGAAAAGACUCUUGAAGGGAAAUGAGAAGUAUGCUGCAGUGCAAAACCACUGUCAAAAGUUUCUGGAAUACACGGUCUUCAGAAAAAUUUCAAAGAGAAACACUCCACAAUUUCUUACCACUUGGGACAAAUAGUUCUGAACUGAAACUGAAUACUGCUUCCUAAAAGUAAUAAUGUAAUACACUGCAUUUUAUAGCACUUUUUGUCUAAGCAUAGUUUGAACAAUAAAUUGAGCUU